rnacentral:lncRNA from 1 species
GUCAGCUGCUAUGACAAUGCCCGGGCGAUCGUGCCCUCCAGCGCUGCCUGCAUGCCGAGGAGGAAGCGAGUCCCCACGUGAAUAAUCGGGCUCCGCCGGCUCACAGCGGAUGUCAGAAGAGGAAGUUCUGCCUCAUUACCUGGAGGUAAGAAUGCUGCACUGAAGAGCCAAGAAGAAUCUGAACAGACAGGACUUGCUGGGUUUAGAUCAUUCCCUUUUUGUCCAAUCACAUUUCAACAUGGUUGUCCAUGCUUCAGUCAUGCCUGUCCAAGAAGUCUUCAUAAAAGGCCCAAGAGGACAGGGUUCAGGGAGUUUUGGAGACCUGAACACAUGGAGGCUGACAGGAAGGUGAAUAAGAACUCAUUCAACAGCCAGGCGCCGUGGCUCAUGCCUGUAAUCCCAGCACUUUCGGAGGCCCAGGCGGGUGGAUCACCUGAGGUGGGGGUUCGAGACCAGCCUGACCAACAUGGAGAAACCCCGCCUCUACUAAAAAUACAAAAUUAGCUGGGCGUGGUGGCGGGCGCCUGUAAAUCCCAGCUACUUGGGAGACUGAGGCAGGAGAAUCGCUUGAACCUGGGAGGCGGAGGUUGCAGUGAGCCGAGAUUGUGACAUUGCACUCCAUCCUGGACAACAAGAGCAAAACUCCAUCUCAAAAAAAAAAAAGAAAAAAAAAAGAACUCAUUCAACCAACUCCUCGGGCACAGAAGUUCCUGGGCUCGGGACCCUUCCAGACCUCUCACUAUGUAUCUAUGUAUCUCUCUCUCUUCAUCUGUUUAUUCAUACUUUUAAAAAUAUCCUUUAUAAUAAGCCAGUAAACGUAAGUGUUUCCUUGAGUUGUGUGAGCCACUUUAGCAAAUUAAUCAAACCCAAAGAGGAGUUUGUGGGAACCCCAACCUGAAGCCUGUUGGUCAGAAAUUCCCGAGGCAUAGACUUGUGAAUGGUGAGAAGGGGCGGGGCAGACUUGCGGGACUGAGCCCUCAACCUGUGGUUUCUGAGGCUAUGCAGGAUGAUAACGUCAGAAUUGAAUUAAACUGGAAGACACUCAGCUGGUGUCCUCUGCUUG